UAUAAUGUGUAUUGUAGUUGUUCCAAUUCUGUUAACAACUCUAAUUUUCACCAUUUUCUGAUGGUAUCAUAGGUUUGUACAAAUUAAUGCAACACAUAGCAAAAUUGAAUGCGUACAAGAUAACUCUUUCAUUCAGAAAAACUCCUUGGCAUCUAUGGAACCAUUGCUGGGUGGAAAAAAUGUGUCUUUCUGGCUGAUGUAAAUUUUAGUUUUGGCAGUAAAAUGCCUUAUACUCAAAUGGCAGUUCAGUAAUGCUAGGAUGGAGGGAAAGCAUAAAGAAAUCAGACCUAAGCACACAAGGAAGUGGAAAGAGAGCGACACUCGUGGCUGGAAAGGUUGGAAUAGUGUAUGUCCCAGCCCAGCCUAAAACUUUCUUGGAAGAGGUCCUUGUAAAUGAGCAACCUUCAUCCGACAGGGUGUUUUUCAGCGCAGUUUCUACUGAGAAAGAGCACAGCUCUCAUCUGUUUUGCUACUGAGCCAUCGCUUGAGAGACUGGACCAGCAGAAAGGGCUUUUCGUGGCCCUGUGAAGACUGAUGAAAUGAGAAGGAUGAAGACCCAAACCGCUGUCCAUCUGAUGUGGCUUCUGAUUUUAGAGCUGCAGUUUGCUUCAUUUACCAAAGGCCUGAAUCAAUUUAUAGUUCCUCAGAAUCUGACCUCGGAGACCGGAAAAACUGUCACCUUUGAAUGUGGUGUCGGUGGAUUGAAUGGGCAAAAAAUCUGGUUUUACAUUAUGGGUCCAAAGGUCAAUGAUUCUAUGGCAUGUCCAGGAGACAAAACCAAAUACUUACCUGCUCAGUCAAUGAAAUCUUACUGUCAUACAAAAUCUAGUGGAGACGUAGCUGCUUGGGAAGUCGCAGGAACAUCAGAAGACGAUAAUGGCACUAUUUUUUUGUGCAAGGUCAAUGGUUUAGAUGACAAAAUCGGACGCCUUUAUGUGUACGCGAAUGAUUCUUACUAUGCAAAGCUCAUUGGAUACGUGAUUGGAGGAUUUUUAGCUGCCCUCAUUACCAUAGUUGUGGCUUAUGUCCUGUUGAAAAGAUCAGAGAAAGUACAGCAUUGCUUCAGGUCGGUGGGAGGAAUCCAAGAUGACAUGCAAUCGGCACAAUCUAAGCAAUAUUGAAACCCCUCUCAUGCUCCUUAUGAUCUGAUAAUUAUAAUUAUAAUAUAGCACACACACCAUAAUAUAAUAUAUGUAAUAUACAGCAUACAAUUAGUUUCUAUAGAUUUGAAAGAAGGCCUGUGUUUCUCAGGUUUCAGUCUUGUCCAGUAGAGGGCGUCUUCACUUCUCUGGUCAUAACCAUUAAUGUUUUUGUUUCUAAUGUUCUUGGUUCAAAAUCUUUGUUUAUUAGUUGUUGUUUUUUUUUUUUUUUUUGGUCAUGGAGAAACUUUUUUUAUUAACUAUCAUAACUGUAUUUCCAUUUCUAACCCUAACUUACACUAAAGUAAGAGGGAUUUUGAUCCAAGAAUAUGUUGGCUAAUCCACUUUAAUCAUCAAGCAACUCCACCUAUUAAUAAUGUAUAUCUUACAAAUACAAACACUGGAACAUUUAAUCGUGGAUCUGCUGUUUAAUGAAUAGUCAAGUACUCUGUGUGAUUGUCAUGCUGUUUACAAUAUACAUUUUAUUUAGUUAGCUAUUUUUUAUUUUCAAUUCAAUGUAAAUUGCGCACAACUUUGAUUGAUUUAAUUUCAUUUUAUACUGCUUUAAGUGGCUAAAUGACAAAAUUCACAGCACACAAACUGAGGGUAGCGUUGAGUAGAUCAAUAGUAGAUGGGUCAAUAUUGACACAGGUGGUUCACUGCACCCUGGAACGGCCGUGUUUCUAUUCUACUAUGCUAUCAAUCCAUGAGCAUUUAGUUUUAAAGUUUGGCUCAGAAAAUGUGCGUUUAAGCCUGUUUUGAAGCUUUGACUAUUUGCAUAUGUGCUCCAGCAUUUGUAAACACUCAAGAGGUAACAUUACAGCACACAACAACCAUCUGCUUUAGCUCACAGUCAGAUUUAAGUUUCAUGCUGAACGAUAUUUUCACCAUAUGCUUAUAUCAGUUAAAAUUUUAAACAUUAUUGUAAACAUCUGAAAUGUAGAUGAGAACAUUUCAAAUCAGAUUAGACAGUCAAAUCUAAAACAUUUAUUUUGUUAUUUUUGUUUUAAUUUUGCCUUUAUUUUAAUGCUUUGUUUUCUUUAGAGACUCAAACACAUAAAAAAUAAUCAGAGUAAUUUAAUUAACCUAUUAUUUUCAUUUCAAAUUCUUGUAAUAUGUUCAACUGACAUCUGUCAAAACAGAUAUUAUUGAAGCUUUUACUCUCUGUUUUAUCAGCAUGUACUUUUCAUGAAGGUGAUUAUCUUGUAUAGAGACUUUUAUUUGGGGUCAGUUUGACCCCAGUAAAAAUAUAUUUUAGAAUAAUCCAAUAAAACAAAUAGAAAUCAACA
ensembl:lncRNA